rnacentral:tRNA from 1 species
GGGGAUGUGGCUCAGUGGUACAGUGCUUGCCUGGCAUGCAUGAGGUCCUGGGUUUAAUCCCCAGCAUUACAA